GUAACCACAUUUCCCCUCCUCCCACCACUCACCAUCGACCCACCAGAGAAGCGGCGGCGCCGCUGGCGUGCUCGCCGGCGCCGGCGUGCAUCGGCCUCUCCGUGCGCGUGGCUCCGUCGAGCUCGCCCGACCGCGUCGUGUCCGUGGCCGGGUCCUGCACUGCGGUCCUCCACGACGGCGGCGGGUUGCCGGCCACCAUGACGCGGCGGCGGCGGCGGGCCGUCGUCCGCCAUCUCACCCGUUCGCGAGCCGAAGCAGGGGAGGCCAGCAGCGGAGAGGGAUCCGUCCUGGGCGUCUCCUCCGGCGUGCUCGCCGGUAACGGCGACCCCCGACGCGCGCAGCUGCAGGGUUUCCCGGCGCACAGGGACUCGGAUCUUGGAGACACUGGAUCGAGUUCGCUCAUGAACACGCCUGCACCUUUCUCUCUGUUUAUACGCGCUGCAAAUAUUCAGUUACAGUGUUCGAGGCCGUGAUUCAGUUCGUCGGGCUGAACCCACUGCUCUACUACGAUGGCACCCUCAUCGGCACCAUCACUCUUCUACAAGCAAGGAUUAAGAGUCGCUUGAAUUUCCCUCAUGUGUACUGAUGUUCCCCCCUAAUAUACAGCACCAUUUUGCUGUUUGGAGAUUUUGCCAGGGUGAAAGUUUGGAUACUGUUGGUGAAGGGCUUGAAAUUCUGAAAAACAUGGUAGCUGCUGAUAUAAAUUCGGUUGCUUUUUUCUAGUUGAACGAUGGUAGGAAUCACAUGAAUUUUACUCUUGUGGUGCUUCCGGCUUCCCUGCUCCGUUUGCUAUUUUGGUAUAUUCCAAGAUGCAUAAUUUGAGAUGAUUCCUGUAGAUUUUAUUUCAUGUGUUUCAUUUGAUGGUCAUUAUAAUUACCAAACUUGCUAGAUGCAGAUUAAUAUUGUGAAGUAUAUAUAGUCCAUUAAAAUCCUAAUAUUUUCUCGAAGCGAACCAGUUCGAAAAUGAUUGCUAUUCAUUGAAUCUUUGUGCUUGUGAUUUGACAUAAUUUAAUAUUGAUGCCUUUUUCUUGCUCCACUUUGUUUCUUGAUUUAGCUGAACUAGUACAUUUGUUGUUUCUUAAGGAAUAAUGUUAAUUGUCCCUGGUUUCUGUAUCAUGGAUUAUUUAGAUUACCAUGAUAAGUAUCUGUACUUAUGUAGGAUCAGAAUGCACAUACAUUUGUUUUUGGUUCCUUAUUUAGUUUGGUAUAUGUACUUGAGCAUCUCUGUGAGUAUAGGUGCAUGCACUGCUGGUAUGAUCCAAUCGUCGCAUGGUUCCGUUUGAUCCAAUCGUCGCGCGCUUCCGCGAUCAUGCUUGAACUGUUGUGUACAAUAUCGUCGCCUUAUUAUUUUGCAAGUCCUUUCGAAAUAUCUGUAUUUGCUUUGCUUAUCAUGCUCUGUUUAUUUUGUCCGAGGAUAACGAGGAGGACUGAGCGACCGUAGUGGCCCCUUCUUCUUCGACUCCAUGUGUUUUAUGGGUUCGAGGCUGUGAUUCACUUUGCUGGAAAAUCAAUGGCGGCCCGUGCCCAGCAGCCCCCGCACGUCGGCGGUCCGGUCUGGGUAGGUCCGGCCGUACCGGCUCCGACGACGACGGCCUCCCUCGUCGGCAGGCUGCGCGGCGUGAGAUACCUCCUGCUGCUCCCGGCCGAAGGUGGGCUGGUCCGGUGAGACCCGGCUCCUCCAGGUGCGCCAGCGCUGCCUGGAAAGGGAGGCCGACCUCCCUUCUCCACACACGGACCACCUCCCUGCCACGAACUCCGAACUCCUGCUGUUGCAUGCCGGUAAGAAGAGGAAAGACACUAUCUGCAUUGUCCUUGCACGCGGAGGACACUUAUGAGGAGCCUAAAGUUAGGAUGGAAAAGGUCGUAGGAAGAACCUGACGUGAAAUAUGGGAAUUGUAUCCGCACUCAUCCAAUUGGUGAUACAGUUGAAGGCAUUACUGAAAACUAUUUGAUGCCUUCUUGAAAUGGUUCAUGUUUGGGUCUGGUGGUGGUACAAGCAGCCCAAGGCGGUGGUGGUGAUGGCGAGGAUGGAUCAGGAAGGAGCCCACUCGGUCUGCGCCGGGGACAGGAACGAUAACUACCCGCAGGGUAUGAUUACUGGCCACGUGUAUUACUUCCUGGAAGAUGUGAACCCUCUGGUGACUGGCCAGCAUCCUGUGAAGACUCCUUUGUUCAUCAAGACUGAUGUUUGCUGACAACAAUCUGGUCGUGGCUUGGCCAACCAACGCCGGGCUCGGUCCGGGUGCAAGGUUUGGUUCUAUGGAGUAUGGACCCACAGUUCCAAUGAUCACCCGAUGUCCAUGACAUGCGACAGAUCUAGGAAAGCGAAUUCUUUUAUUCCUUCAUAUUGUGAGGUUGUGCGAUGCAAGGUCCGCGUGUACUUAUGCAUGCUAGAUCAUUGUUAUUGUGCAUAACGAAGAUAUGUGACUGGCAAGGACAACGACGAGCCAGUUUAGCUGUGACAUGUAGCUGCUGCAGGUUAGUGCAUCUGGGGGAUAGGGGAUGUCGUCAUCGUAUAUGUGCCUUGGUCGUCGAACAAUCUAUAUGCGCUUUAUCAACUUCGUUGAUGUUUCUUGUUCAGUAUUGUUUUACACCUCUUGUAUAUUUGAAUGUCAAAUUUGUUGUGUUGUGUGCACUCUAGCAAGUUUUUGAUGUACAGUAAAUACUUGCUAUGUGAUCAUGAUGUCUGAGAAAGAGACUUUCGAGCUGAUGAAA